rnacentral:lncRNA from 1 species
GUGGAGAGGACGGACGGAUGGGAUGAAUCCUCCGAGAAGAGGAUGGAUGCGGACGUGGCAUGCUGGGACGCUCGGGAGAGUUGAAAUCGCUGGGAAAUCCAAUAGAUGGAUCGGAAGGGAGGAGCGUGGACGCUGGGAUGAAGUCGGGACUUGCUGGAAAAUCGCUGGGAAGCGAGUUGCUCGGGAGAUUGUGAUCUGGGACUCGUGGAAGAAGCUGGAUGCGGGGUGAAUCGUGAUCACGAAAGCUGGGAUUUCGGGAUAGCUGGUGGCAGAGCCUUUGCUGGGAGUCGGAUGGACGCGGAUCGAAGGAUGGGGCGCGGAUGAUGCUUCGCAAGAUGCUGGAAAAGGCUGGAUUUGUGCUGUGGAUGCGGGAUCUUCACGGAUUGCACGCGGACGCUGGGAUGCGCACGCUGAGAUCACGGACGCAUGGAUGGGCUCGCGGAUGAGGCAGAAUCUGGGAGGGUGCACGCGGAUGCUGGGACGCGCUGUGAACUGGGACUCGGAUGACUGGAUCGAAGGAUGAGAUUUGGGUUGCACGGACACUGGAUGAGGGGUCACACGUUGGGCCGCUCUGAAGAAGCAGACGCGGAGGAUGCUUCGUGAUUCUUCCACGUGGGAGGAUGGGUUGCACGCGGCUCAGAUGCUUGGGCUCAUAGAAGACUGAAGCUGCGAUGAAGUGGACAGUUGAACUUGACCUCCUUCUAGUGUGCAACUAGGGUUGACACAAGCGGUUGGCUGAUCACCUGUAGUGAUGCAUAUUUUUGGACCUAAUGCGAAAUUUAACUUUGAUUUACGAUCACCUGCGCCCUACAAAAAUAUAAUAUUAAUGCAGCACUUUUAUCAUUUUUUUGUUAGCAAUAAUACUAAUUUAAGGGAUGUAUAGAUCGCACUUUUGUGCUCUCAUCACACCCCCCAACUAGCUUAUUGCUAGUCUCUAGCAAUUAACGAGCAAACACUAAAAUGAGAGUGCAAAAGGUGUGGUUUAACCUAUGACUUUUUAUUGAAGCUAAAGACAUAAAACUAGGAUAAGUACUCACUUUUGUAGAAAUCACGAUUGCACUUAGCAUGUGCAACAAGCCGUUAAACUCCUAGGUUAUCCUAGUGGACGAGUGUUGUCUCGUGAGGGUUUUCAGGGAUGUUACCCACAAACAUCAUGAAUUAUAUGACAC